rnacentral:rRNA from 1 species
GGAGUUAGCCGGUGCUUCUUCUGUGAGUGAUGUCCUUCCUGCCGGCUAUUAACCCGCAGGCCUUCUUCCUCACUGAAAGUGCUUUACAACCCGAAGGCCUUCUUCACACACGCGGCAUGGCUGGAUCAGGGUUGCCCCCAUUGUCCAAUAUUCCCCACUGCUGCCUCCCGUAGGAGUCUGGGCCGUGUCUCAGUCCCAGUGUGGCUGAUCAUCCUCUCAGACCAGCUACGGAUCGUCGCCUUGGUGAGCCGUUACCUCACCAACCAGCUAAUCCGACAUAGGCUCAUCCGAUAGCGCGAGGCCCGAAGGUCCCCCGNUUUCCCCCGUAGGGCGUAUGCGGUAUUAGCCUGGGUUUCCCCAGGUUAUCCCCCACUACCGGGCAGAUUCCUAUGCAUUACUCACCCGUCCGCCGCUCGCCACCAGGGAGCAAGCUCCCCGUGCUGCCGCUCGACUUGCAUGUNUUAGGCCUGCCGCCAGCGUCAUCUGAACCAAGAUACAACUUACUGA